GGGAACUUGGUCCAGUGGUAAGACGUUCGCACAACACUAAGAUCUUGCACUCCUUGUGCGGAUCCAGUACUUAGCCGUACUGGAGUACUCUGUACCAGAGUGAUCUAUGCGAAAGACCUGCGUUCGAUUCGCAGGAUGUCCA
rnacentral:tRNA from 1 species